GACGAACGCUGGCGGCAUGCCUAACACAUGCAAGUCGAACGAGAAAGUUCCUUCGGGAGCGAUUAAAGUGGCGCACGGGUGAGUAACGCGUAGACAAUCUGCCCUUCAGUCUGGGACAACUUUUCGAAAGGAGAGCUAAUACCGGAUAACAAUGUUUAACCUAAGUUAAGCAUUUGAAAGCUUUAUGUGCUGAAGGAGGGGUCUGCGUCCCAUUAGCUAGUUGGUAAGGUAAAGGCUUACCAAGGCGACGAUGGGUAGCGGGUUUGAGAGGACGAUCCGCCACACUGGAACUGAGACACGGUCCAGACUCCUACGGGAGGCAGCAGUGGGGAAUAUUGCACAAUGGAGGCAACUCUGAUGCAGCAAUGUCGCGUGAGUGAAGAAGGCCCUUGGGUCGUAAAGCUCUUUUAUGGGGGAAGAUGAUGACGGUACCCCAAGAAUAAGCACCGGCUAACUAUGUGCCAGCAGCCGCGGUAAUACAUAGGGUGCGAGCGUUGUUCGGAAUUACUGGGCGUAAAGGGCGCGCAGGCGGAAUAGUAAGUCGGAGGUGAAAGCCCGGGGCUCAACCUCGGAGGGUCUUUCGAAACUGCUAAUCUAGAGAGGGUCAGGGGCCGGCAGAAUUCCUGGUGUAGAGGUGAAAUUCGUAGAUAUCAGGAGGAAUACCGGUGGCGAAAGCGGCCGGCUGGGACCACUCUGACGCUGAGGCGCGAAAGCGUGGGGAGCAAACAGGAUUAGAUACCCUGGUAGUCCACGCCGUAAACGAUGAGCACUGGACGUCCGGAGGGUUCGACCCUUCUGGGUGUUUCAGCUAACGCAUUAAGUGCUCCGCCUGGGGAGUACGGUCGCAAGACUAAAACUCAAAGGAAUUGACGGGGGCCCGCACAAGCGGUGGAACAUGUGGUUUAAUUCGAUGCAACGCGAAGAACCUUACCUGGUCUUGACAUCCUCGGACCACUUCAGAGAUGAAGUUUCCUCUUCGGAGGCCGAGUGACAGGUGCUGCAUGGCUGUCGUCAGCUCGUGUCGUGAGAUGUUGGGUUAAGUCCCGCAACGAGCGCAACCCCUACCCUUAAUUGCCAUCGGGUUAUGCCGGGCACUUUAGGGGGACUGCCGGUGACAAGCCGGAGGAGGGUGGGGAUGACGUCAAGUCCUCAUGGCCUUUAUGACCAGGGCUACACACGUGUUACAAUGGGAGUUACAGAGGGAAGCUAAGCCGUGAGGCCAUGCCAAUCCCAGAAAAACUUUCUCAGUUCGGAUCGCAGUCUGCAACUCGACUGCGUGAAGCUGGAAUCGCUAGUAAUCGCGGAUCAGCACGCCGCGGUGAAUACGUUCCCGGGCCUUGUACACACCGCCCGUCACACCAUGGGAGCCGACAAGGGCAGAAGUCGCCGAGCUAACCUUCGGGAAGCAGGCGCCCAAGCUGUUGUUGACGACUGGGGUGAAGUCGUAACAAGGUAGCCGUAGGAGAACCUGCGGCUGGAUCACCUCCUUUCUAAGGACGCCGGGGAUGCUUUAUGCUUAUCUCCGGAUAGUCAAGUCGAAACAGACUCUCUUCUCUUCUCUCCCUUUUCUCCUGUAAAUGCUAAGUUAUGAAUUUAGAGCAACUAAGAAAUUGAAUUCGUUACUGUGGACUCCUAAUUUCAAGAGGGGCCUGUAGCUCAGCUUGGUUAGAGCGCAUCCCUGAUAAGGAUGAGGCCGGUGGUUCAAGUCCACCCAGGCCCACCAGCUCAUUUUUGAUUUAGAUAUGGAUUUGGGUUUAGCGACUAUGAUGGUGGCAAAUCUGAGGUCUGGUAAUCCAAAUCAGAUAUUUAAAGAUCGGGGGAUUAGCUCAGCUGGUAGAGCGCCUGCUUUGCAAGCAGGAGGUCAGCGGUUCGACCCCGCUAUCCUCCACCAAAUUAAUGAACAGUAAAAAAAGGUGGUACAGCUUGAGCAGAAAAUAAGCUUCAGCAAUUUUAAUAGUUUCUGAAUUUUAUUUUCUAAUAUCUUAGACAAUUAAAUCGGAGGUUUUGGAGGCACAAGAUCAAAUGUGAGGGUCUCCAAGGUUGACAAUCUUGACUGUUAAAGUCAGGUAGUAAGGGCGCAGGCCGGAUCCUUGGCUCUGGGAAGCGAAGAAGGACGUGGCUAGCUGCGAUAAGCCUCGAGGAAGAGCAAACAUCUUUUGAUCCGGGGAUUU
rnacentral:sRNA from 1 species